CGUAACGCGUAUGCAACCUACCUUGAACAGGGGGAUAGCCCGGAGAAAUCCGGAUUAAUACCGCAUAACAUAAUGAGGCAGCAUUGUUUUAUUAUUAAAGAUUUAUUGGUUCAAGAUGGGCAUGCGUGUCAUUAGCUAGUUGGUGAGGUAACGGCCCACCAAGGCGACGAUGACUAGGGGAUCUGAGAGGAUGACCCCCCACACUGGUACUGAGACACGGACCAG
rnacentral:rRNA from 1 species